UGAGUACCUGAGAUUACAGGCUCUGCUAACCCACUGGACAGGCAUCUACAACCACCUGUGGGCCAGAGACAAUCAUGACUCAUGGGCUACAGAAGCUGCCUGAGAAUUUUUUAGUGGAGUGGAUGUCAUGAUCCAUUCUGGUCACAGAAUGCAGAUGAAACAAACAUAGCCAAUAUAAUACACGUGAAAGGUCACCACCAAACUGAUGUGCCGAUCACUUGAAGAAGAGGACAGAUAUGCAAGCUGUACCAGCACAAAAACAGAAUUAGCACUGAAUACCAUAGUACGGCAGUUUCCAGAGGCCAUCCUACAAAAUACUGAUCCCACACGUUGCUCCACCAAAGAAGAAUUUCCUGGGCAAAUGAGUUUAGAGGAUACUAAGCACUACGUCCCAUUCCUGGAGUUCCCAGUGCUCAUCACGAUGUUGAAGCUAUGAGAAUCUCAAAGCAUUCUUAGCUUUGUUUACACACGUUUGACCAGGUACUAUUUUCUCUAAGGAAUACUCACUGAUAUUUUAUGGAACUUGUUUCUCAUGGAAACUACUCUGGGAAAUGCUGCUCUACCAACAUAUUAAUUUUUAUAAUAUUCUUCUUCAAGGGCAAUGAAUAACAGUAUCAUUGCCAUUUUUAAUUAGUUUAUAAAUAUCUUUCAGUUGCCAGUGGUAGCCAUGGAAAGUAAAAAUAAAUGCACAUACAGAAUUA